GCCUGUAAGACUGGGAUAACUCCGGGAAACCGGGGCUAAUACCGGAUGGUUGUUUGAACCGCAUGGUUCAAACAUAAAAGGUGGCUUCGGCUACCACUUACAGAUGGACCCGCGGCGCAUUAGCUAGUUGGUGAGGUAACGGCUCACCAAGGCAACGAUGCGUAGCCGACCUGAGAGGGUGAUCGGCCACACUGGGACUGAGACACGGCCCAGACUCCUACGGGAGGCAGCAGUAGGGAAUCUUCCGCAAUGGACGAAAGUCUGACGGAGCAACGCCGCGUGAGUGAUGAAGGUUUUCGGAUCGUAAAGCUCUGUUGUUAGGGAAGAACAAGUACCGUUCGAAUAGGGCGGUACCUUGACGGUACCUAACCAGAAAGCCACGGCUAACUACGUGCCAGCAGCCGCGGUAAUACGUAGGUGGCAAGCGUUGUCCGGAAUUAUUGGGCGUAAAGGGCUCGCAGGCGGUUUCUUAAGUCUGAUGUGAAAGCCCCCGGCUCAACCGGGGAGGGUCAUUGGAAACUGGGGAACUUGAGUGCAGAAGAGGAGAGUGGAAUUCCACGUGUAGCGGUGAAAUGCGUAGAGAUGUGGAGGAACACCAGUGGCGAAGGCGACUCUCUGGUCUGUAACUGACGCUGAGGAGCGAAAGCGUGGGGAGCGAACAGGAUUAGAUACCCUGGUAGUCCACGCCGUAAACGAUGAGUGCUAAGUGUUAGGGGGUUUCCGCCCCUUAGUGCUGCAGCUAACGCAUUAAGCACUCCGCCUGGGGAGUACGGUCGCAAGACUGAAACUCAAAGGAAUUGACGGGGGCCCGCACAAGCGGUGGAGCAUGUGGUUUAAUUC
rnacentral:rRNA from 1 species